CUAAGGAACUCAGAGCUGAAUCCAGGAAACCUCUGGGCUGUCCGACGAGUUGCCUUGAUAUAAUCAUGGGAAUCACUGGCUACAAGUCUAUAUCUAAGGGCCUGACUCUCUCUGGAGUCUGCUGGCUGAUUGAAAGCUUAUCUGAAGAUGCCUCCAGCCAUUUAUGAUCCCUGACACCUUACCCUGCCUAGAAGACGUCGCAUGGGGAAUACCUAGGAGUGAAAUCCAGCUGGUUACUUCCAGAAAUGUGCAAGAUACAGUGAAUCACCCAGGAGAAAUGAAUGCUUCUAAGGAGCAAUUAGAGUACUAUCCUGAGGUAGAUGCCUAAAAUAGAGUUCCUAUUCUUUCCCUCUGCUUCUCACCAUCUCACCAUCCCCUCGGAUUCUGUUUUGGUUUAUACUUGCUUGUUUCCAUAUAAUAAUUCUAUUUAUUGUAAUUUCUUGAUGUGUCAUCAGUGUACUGAUAGUACACUGGAACAUUCGUUCCAGUACUUGCAGUUGUGGAAAGCUGCUUGAUGAUUUGCAUAAUUGUUUCUUCUACUC